rnacentral:lncRNA from 1 species
AAUUUCCAUAAGGUGAAUACAGAAAGGAACUACAAGCAUUGGAAAUGAAUGGGGGAGUUUAAUUCAGCCGCGUUUCACUCCCACUGAGGAGGCAUACAGAUGGCUGCACAGAACUCAGCAAAAACAGAGCCAGGAGUCAGGGAGAGGGAGACUUCAACUGGGGUUUCGAGUGGAGUUGCUCAUUUAUUUCCCCCUGUAUCAGUCUGCCUCCUGGGAUAUCGCAUGGACAGGUACAGGCAAACAGUUCCAAAUAAGGGAAUGCAUGCUGUGCGAGUGUAAUGCUCUGCUUUCCUUAGUGGCAUGUUUUCAGCAAGUUUGCCAUGUGCUACAGCUGGCCUAGGCAGGAUUUUGCAAAAGGAAAGAAGAAUAUUCACACUAAGGUCCCUGAAGCCACACUUCUGCAAACUAGCAGCUACCAAAAAGGUCAUCACUGGCUGCAGUCCCUGAAGGUUGUCCCUCUCCUGGCUCUGGUUACCCAUGAGGUCACCACAUACAUCCUCAAGGACACCUCGUCACAUCUCCCAUGCCAGUGUCUACCACUCUUUGCCAAUCUUAAUACCACAUUGGUUGUUUCAACCUCUUUUCUGGCAGACUGAGGUCAAACAUGUUGGGAAAUCGAGGACAGGACUCCUG